GCAAAGACAGACGGGGUCCCUGCCCUCAAGGCUGCCUGGGGCAGCUUCAGGACCUGGCCCCUUGUUUACAAAUCAGAAGCACCCCUGGGAGAAGAUGAGGACCAGGACACGACCAGGACUCAGGGGCUGGGCCAGAGUCAGAGGUGGCUGUCUCGCAAAAGGCCCAGGAUCCCCGUGGAUGUUCCAGGUCUGCCGACUCUCCAGCCUUAUGUUCCCCGCGGGCUAGACUUCAGAGGACAGCCCCUGUGAGCGGUUCCGGGCGCUCGAGUUCCCAACCGCAGGCAGCACGGGGAGUGGACGGUGCAUGGUGCCCCUCAGCCUGGGUUCUCACACCUGUUCCCAUCAACAGUGCUUGUCCUUCAAACUGGAUGGCGUAGUCUGGCUAGACUGGGUCAGCGGCCCUUUGGUUCAGGGUGGUCCUUUCCUCCCAGGGUCCCCGCCAGGCAGCUUAGAGAGCCGCAGGGAUGCUUCCAGUGACCGCUCACCUCGCGGCCUGAAGGGGCACAUCAUGCAGUUUCAGGCUCAGGCCUGGGAGUUUUCACGGAUUUGGGUUCCGAUCCAAUCUCCUCACUGACCAGCUCUGAGCACCUGGGUGAGCUACCCAUCCUCCGAGUCUGAAUUCCUGCAGCUUCCAGAUGGGGACAGGGCUGGGAGUUCCGGUCCAUCAUGCUCAGAGGACACGGGGUUUCUCCGACGCGGCCUGCUCCACCGCAGGCCCGAGAGCUUCCGCAGUGAGGACCUGAUGCCCAGCAGGGACACAGCACUCUGCCCCGCCCCAGGAUGCCAGCAACCCAGAACGCAGUACCUUCAGCCGCCAGGAGUACCCGCCACCCAGAAUGGGCCUCCCCACAAGGAGGCAUCCAGAAGAGGGGUGUGGCCCAGCCUCAGGCCUGGGGGUCCCUGUGCCCUCGGAGCAGAGGAUGGUCACCCUGGAGUAGUUCCUGGAGGAGCGUGACCAGGCUCCCCCUACUCUGUGUGUGGCCCUGGAGGG